rnacentral:rRNA from 2 species
UCGAGCGGACAGAUGGGAGCUUGCUCCCUGAUGUUAGCGGCGGACGGGUGAGUAACACGUGGGUAACCUGCCUGUAAGACUGGGAUAACUCCGGGAAACCGGGGCUAAUACCGGAUGGUUGUUUGAACCGCAUGGUUCAGACAUAAAAGGUGGCUUCGGCUACCACUUACAGAUGGACCCGCGGCGCAUUAGCUAGUUGGUGAGGUAACGGCUCACCAAGGCGACGAUGCGUAGCCGACCUGAGAGGGUGAUCGGCCACACUGGGACUGAGACACGGCCCAGACUCCUACGGGAGGCAGCAGUAGGGAAUCUUCCGCAAUGGACGAAAGUCUGACGGAGCAACGCCGCGUGAGUGAUGAAGGUUUUCGGAUCGUAAAGCUCUGUUGUUAGGGAAGAACAAGUGCCGUUCAAAUAGGGCGGCACCUUGACGGUACCUAACCAGAAAGCCACGGCUAACUACGUGCCAGCAGCCGCGGUAAUACGUAGGUGGCAAGCGUUGUCCGGAAUUAUUGGGCGUAAAGGGCUCGCAGGCGGUUUCUUAAGUCUGAUGUGAAAGCCCCCGGCUCAACCGG